CUUCUCAUAGGAUCACCGAAGUUAAGCAACGUCGAGUCUGGUCAGUACCUAAAUGGGUGACAGCUUGGGAAUACCAUGUGCUGUCA